rnacentral:lncRNA from 1 species
GUCUCAUGGCUUCUAGAGUCUUCUAGAUGUAAGAUAAUUGUGCGGCACGUUAAUAUCUCUAUGUAAUCCCGACGUGUGGGCCUUUCUUCCGUAUUUCCUGAUAACCCCCUGCAGAAAUAGACAAACGCCAAAACUCGUGGAAUUCUGUCAGAUAAAACACUAAGUCUAGAUGUUGAUUUCAUUUGGAUCCUUUUCUUUGUUUAUUUGAUAAUUAAAUUUGAUACUUAAGGACCGUGAACAAACUCCCCCAAGCUUACCUCUUGCUCGUCCCUGAGCAAGGAUAGACUCAGCAAUGGAUCAGAAGUUGUUGCAAUAUCUUAAAAUUUUGACGGUACACAUGCUUUUAAAUAAGAUCUCAUCUCCGAGUUAGAGUAAACUGUCAAGAACUAAAACUUACUUUACCUUUCACAAUGGGACUUGUAACCAUCACUUCUGUCUUGAGUAGUUAAAAGAUAGAACAGUCUAGCCAAGUGCCAUGUCUCUUAUUCUUGAUCAGCUAUAGCUCUGGAGUUUUUGCAGAUUUUCAAAUAAAACUCAGAGAUUCCUUGUAUGACUCUCUAAAUCUCUCUUUUGUGGUAUUUCUGGAUCCUUACCAAGGCAGUGAUGGUAUAUGCCUUCUCUCAAGAUAUGUGGUAUUUGUGGUAUAAGGCAUAGUGACAUUGCCUUCUCUCUCACCCUACUCUAAUAAGGCUUUAAUAUGUGGAGCUCAUAGGUGGGAGAUAAAGUAUACAUACUUACAAGACAUUUAUUGUAUACUCAAACCAUGGAUCCAAAGAAACAAAUCAAUAAGCCAAAUCAAGAUGUGCAUGUGUGGCGAAUGAAUGGUGUAUGGUGAUGAUGGUGAUAACAAUGGUGAAAGUCUAAUUCUACUUUUGCUCUUUUGAGGGGAUACAUACCUUCCUUGCUUUUUGAAACUUUAUGAGGAGAAUGAGAUGCUCUAUCUUUCAUUUUUCUUUCCUCUCAGGUGGGUAUCCUGUACCCCUAAUUCUACUGUCGGACACUUGUCCAUUUUUACCUCUCGUCUCACUCUUUUUUUCUUUUGAGGUUCCGGGCACUUGCCCCUUUUUAUUUUCUCGUUUAUUUUUUUUCUUCUUUUUUUUCAGAGCACUCAUCUCUUGAGAUAAUAUAGCAAGUGGUAGUAGCAAGAUAACUUGAGCAUUUAUUUCACAAGGGAAAACAGAAAUAUUUUUGGCUAUUCUCUCCCGGAUUAGGAGUAGAAUAUUUUUGGGUGGUUCUGGAGAUGGACAUGGAUGGAUAUAUGUGGAUGGUACUUCCGGAGUAGAAGUAGCAUAUAUGAGUGAACGUGCAAGUGAAAUCUUGAUUUAAACACAUGACAAGCUCCUAAGGGUCUACACAGCUUGACCACACUCAAUGCUCAUAAUCAGUAAAUCAUAAAUGUGUGGCUCAAAGUCUAGCAAGCAUGUAUAUAUGGCUGUGGUAGGAAUUUAAACUCUCAUCAUACAGAAACUCAUCAUGCAAUAUUUUAAUGAUUUUUCAAAGAUAAAAUUCUCCAAAAUUCUAGCAUCUCUAGGAAUAGAUAAACAACAGCUCAACCUUCCCAUAUCAUAUCCGUUAACAACUUAGAUUACAGAUCAAGGUUUCAUCCCAUAAGUUUAGAUCUAGAGCAAGCUUUAAAUUAUAACAGUUAUGUCUAAACUUGAGAGAGAACUUCAAAUUUGCAAAUUAUGCAGCGCAACUAUUCAUCAUAUCCAUGCUAGAGUUUUAUUAUUAAGAUUCAGAUUAGCAUAGCCACUUUAUUUAUUUAUUAAACACACUAAGCAAAAGAUAUAUAUAUAUAUAUAAGCACAAAAAUCUUUAUUUGGUUUUUCAUAGUUUAUGUAUUUUAAUAUUCUAAUAUAAUAUAAGUAUAAAGAUAGGUAGAAAUACUUAGCGAGAUAAAUGGGGGUGCUCUCCCCCAAGCUGAAUUUUGACAUAAUUUCUCUUGAUGUAGCUAGCAGGUGGCAGAGGUGUAUUUGAAAGUCAGCAGCAUUCUGACAGCGAUUAGAAUGUCCUCCGUCUGCUAGUCUUCUUGAUUCUUAAAUUUUGUGGAGCUCAAAUAGACAACAAAGCUUGUGGAACUAAUUAAGUGUUAGCAUAAAUAUCUAGCCUUCAUCAUGUUGAGCUUCCUCAAUAAAUAUUACUCCCUGUUUUUAUAUUUUUAUUUUAUAAAGCAGAAAAGAAAUAUUUAUUUUAUUUUUAUGCCACCACAGUGAAGGUACUUAUGGGUUUUAUGCCACUCGUAUACUCACAUGGGGCUUAGUAUUUUUUAACAUUUUUAUUUUCUUUUCAAAAUAGCAUGAUUAACUAAUAAUCUAUUUAAGGAAAGUAAAUAAUUAAAGGGAAAAAGGGAAUGCAGAAAGGAUAAAUAUGGAUAACUACCGAUCUUACCUUUCGGCAAGGGUUCAAUGUUUUAAGUCUUCUUAACAAGACUGCUCACCGUGUUCAUUCUUCAGGUGCGUCAUUUGAUUCAGGUGCGGACCUUGACGUCUGCACAUCUUGAUACGGUGUCACCCAUGUUCUUCAUUUGCCCAGCAGUUCGAAGUGUAGCGUUGGCAGCUUCCUGCACAGUGUGUUUGUGCUCGUAGUGUACCUGCUCAUAGAGACAAGGCAGAGAUCAAGUGCAUGGGUCCUGUUGGUGGAAAACACCAACAGAACCUAAAGUGUAUUUGUUCUUCUCUAACCCUAAGCAUAGUGAGCAAGACAAAGUUGAUGGAUGAAAAGUUCAUGAGUGUAGCACUUAUAGCAUUUGUCAGAUCAGAUCGCUCAACCUUAUGGAGAGAUAAUCUAUCUAUGUAUAUGUCGUUUUCUUUAUAUCUCUCAAUGAUUGAAUGUGUAACAUUUUAGCUCAUAUGAUUAGGAGUGUGGGAUCAUGGAGGUAGUACUAAGAACAAGGAUUAAAGGACUAAGCAUGUUGAAUUAGUUGGGUUGGUUAAUCUAGAGUUGCAAAUCAUACAUGUUUGUCUCUUUUAUUUAUAUGAACGCUAGAACCAAGGAGAAGCUUAUAAAAGUGAU